rnacentral:rRNA from 1 species
CGUAACGCGUGAAGGCGAGCACUCUAGACGAACUGCCGUUGACAAAACGGAGGAAGGUGGGAUGACGUCAAAUCAUCAUGCCCCUUAUGUUCUGGGCUACACACGUGCUACAAUGGCCGGUACAGACGGACGCAAAGCCGCGAGGUGGAGCAAAUCCUAAAAAGCCGGUCUCAGUUCGGAUUGCAGGCUGCAAUUCGCCUGCAUGAAGUCGGAAUCGCUAGUAAUCGCAGGUCAGCAUACUGCGGUGAAUACGUUCCCGGGCCUU